AGGAAUAUUGGUCAAUGGGCGAGAGCCUGAACCAGCCAAGUAGCGUGAAGGAUGAAGGUCCUACGGAUUGUAAACUUCUUUUAUACGGGAAUAAAGUUUCCUACGUGUAGGAUUUUGUAUGUACCGUAUGAAUAAGCAUCGGCUAACUCCGUGCCAGCAGCCGCGGUAAUACGGAGGAUGCGAGCGUUAUCCGGAUUUAUUGGGUUUAAAGGGAGCGCAGACGGCCUUUUAAGUCAGUUGUGAAAGUUUGCGGCUCAACCGUAAAAUUGCAGUUGAUACUGGUUUCCUUGAGUGCAGUUGAGGCAGGCGGAAUUCGUGGUGUAGCGGUGAAAUGCUUAGAUAUCACGAAGAACCCCGAUUGCGAAGGCAGCUUGCUAAACUGUAACUGACGUUCAUGCUCGAAAGUGUGGGUAUCAAACAGGAUUAGAUACCCUGGUAGUCCACACGGUAAACGAUGGAUACUCGCUGUUGGCGAUAUACUGUCAGCGGCCAAGCGAAAGCAUUAAGUAUCCCACCUGGGGAGUACGCCGGCAACGGUGAAACUCAAAGGAAUUGACGGGGGCCCGCACAAGCGGAGGAACAUGUGGUUUAAUUCGAUGAUACGCGAGGAACCUUACCCGGGCUUAAAUUGCAGACGAAUUACGAGGAAACUUGUAAGCCGCAAGGCGUCUGUGAAGGUGCUGCAUGGUUGUCGUCAGCUCGUGCCGUGAGGUGUCGGCUUAAGUGCCAUAACGAGCGCAACCCUCGUGGUCAGUUACUAACAGGUAACGCUGAGGACUCUGGCCAGACUGCCAUCGUAAGAUGUGAGGAAGGUGGGGAUGACGUCAAAUCAGCACGGCCCUUACGUCCGGGGCUACACACGUGUUACAAUGGGAGGUACAGAAGGCAGCUACCCGGCGACGGGAUGCCAAUCCCCAAAACCUCUCUCAGUUCGGACUGGAGUCUGCAACCCGACUCCACGAAGCUGGAUUCGCUAGUAAUCGCGCAUCAGCCACGGCGCGGUGAAUACGUUCCCG
rnacentral:rRNA from 1 species